GAUCAUGGCUCAGGGUGAACGCUAGCUACAGGCUUAACACAUGCAAGUCGAGGGGAAACGACAUCGAAAGCUUGCUUUUGAUGGGCGUCGACUGGCGCACGGGUGAGUAACGCGUAUCCAACCUGCCCAUCACCUGGGAAUAACCUUGCGAAAGUAAGACUAAUGCCCAAUGACAUCCCACGAAGGCAUCCGAAUGGGAUUAAAGAUUUAUCGGUGAUGGAUGGGGAUGCGU
rnacentral:rRNA from 1 species